AGUACACCGUCACGCCCCCGUCCUGUUGGAGAGGGUGUCGCUGUGCAAGGAAUCAGUGGAGAGAAAAACCCUAACCCUAACCCUAACCCUAACCCUAACCCUAACCCUAACCAGUACACCAGUACACCGUCACGCCCCCGUCCUGUUGGAGAGGGUGUCGCUGUGCAAGGAAUCAGUGGAGAGAAAAACCCUAACCCUAACCCUAACCCUAACCCUAACCCUAACCAGUACACCAGUACACCGUCACGCCCCCGUCCUGUUGGAGAGGGUGUCGCUGUGCAAGGAAUCAGUGGAGAGAAAAACCCUAACCCUAACCCUAACCCUAACCCUAACCAGUACACCAGUACACCGUCACACCCCCGUCCUGUUGGAGAGGGUGUCGCUGUGCAAGGAAUCAGUGGAGCGAAGAACCCUAACGCGUACCCGUUCCUGCCCCCGUAUUCUACCCUUCCCUCGCUCUUGUCCCUGACCCGCUUUUUCGAGAAUGUGCAUCGGUGGUGUGAAUCGGUGUAAAGGAAUGAUCUAUCCCCCAUUUUUUUUUCUGUGAGGAAGUAGUGCAUAGCCUUUUUCUAUCAGAGCUGCUUUUCUGUGCCGUGCAUCGGGGGACUGUUACAGCGAGAGCUUGGUGACGCAGUGGUUUUUUUGGUGGUCGGAAAAGGUGCCGUCGGCCGGUACUGUUAAGGAGUUCGCUCAUUAGCAAGUUUUUUUUUCUCCUGGUUUUUUUGUUUGGUACCCAUGACCACUCCCAGAGGCGUUGUCCCGGUGUAGUUGGUGGUGCGUGGCCUUGUCCGUUGGGAAACACUACUGCCUGUCGUCUUGAUAGCUCACGAGUGAUUUCACUGCGUAGGAAUUCCUUGCGUUAUUAUAUGUUUAGCUGAGGGCUGCGGCUCAUAUUCUCAGCUUUGCGGUGCUGCAGUGUGGCGUUGCACAUCUGCAAGCGACACCAGUUUCAAAAAGGGCGACUAUGAUUUUGCAGCCGGCGAUUUGGAUGCUGAAAACGUGAGGACAGAAGUUUGCAGCCGUGUUGGGUCCACCGGCGUGUUGGUGGUCUCCAUUUUGCGGGGUCGAGCACCUUUCGCAGCGAUGCCGCUUCAACAAGCACGUAUGAAGCGUUAUCAUGGCUGUUCUCCUCCCGCCUGCACCGCAAUUGGUGACACGCUGCCGACUCUAAUGUCGUUAACUGCCUAGUGGGUUUAUUAUUUCAUGGGCAUAUAUUGGGCAAUGUGAUACCCUUGUUUCGCGCAAGGGACCAAUAAUGAUGGAAUCUCUUGCGAGGCGGCUUUGAGGAGCACCAUGGUGUUAGUUGAAGGAAAAACACCCCCCUCCCACCGGCCUUUUUCAUGCCAUCACUCUUUUCAGUGCCGUGCGCGCGCGGAAGUUGUGCUAUUAUUAUUUCGCUCUCUUCUAAUACUAGUUUGGAUAUUUUAGUGUGCAAUUACGCCUCCAAAGCUGCUGCUGCAACCUAGUGUCAGAGUGGUCUCUAGAUAGAGCCUGUGCGUUUUUGCCCGCGAUAUGGUGUCUGCCACCUGUUCGGCUGUAGAUGAAGUGAAAAGGUAAUUAGUGCUCAUCAGCUUGUUCUACACUGAACUGGGAUGCUGAUUCGUGCCUCAAAGGGCAAUGAUGAUCUUGAUGCGCGAGUUACACCUAGCGGAACUCGUGUGAGGACUUGUACACGUAAUUCUUCUGAGAUGUCCUUGUGAUCCAAUUUCUGCUGUUGUCAGUUGGAUGAUUCUGGUGUCGUUGCAGGUAGUGCUUAUCCUCUACGUGUAGGAGACGUGCGUACUCACCCAUACGUCGACGAUUGUGAGGCUCGGCUUUGGAAGCCGAGCGGGAUGUUGUAUGUGCUUUUGAGGCCUCCGUUCACUUGUGUAGCAUAGAGUUGCUCACAGCGGGUGGAAGGGAGCGAAACUGGUAUUUUUUGCGUUCGCUGUUCUCAGGAUUGAACUAAUGUGAUGAGGGCUGUCAUUGUUCUUGUGUUCGUAUGAGACUUGCCGGAUGAUGGGGGUUUUGCGAUGGGAGCUGCAGCAACUUCGACGCUGAGUGCAGGUUUUUCGAUAAGCGAUGCCAGGCUGGCAGUUGCGGCGCCGACUCUGACAGGUAUUCCUGAGCGACGGCUUCUCUUGUGUGCCGGUGUGUGGAAAAAUUCAGCUAAGUGCACAGGUGACGGCGAGCGCCAUUUCGAAUGCUGGCGGUGGUGUGUAUCGCUCGUAGUGAAAGUCACACGCACAGUUUCGGUUUUCUGCUAGGCUUGCUUAUUUUGCCAUAUAGUUUUGCAGAGCGUCUUUCCGGCGCUGUCUCUGAGCAAAGGCUUGUUCUGUCCUCGCUGAGUAGAUUUAUGAAGGUGUGCUCGUUAAGUGCAGUGUCUCUGCCCUACUCAAGUGUACAGAAGAAUGGUGAAUUCAUACGUCACCUGGAUGAAAUUUUUUGUUGAAUCGCUUCAUAGGAGGAUAAGCUUCUGGAUUCUGUGACAGUCUCGUAAAAGUUAUACACUGCUGUGUAGAGGAUGUGUGAAAACCGUCGUUGGACGUGUGCGAGGUAUAAAUGAUUUAGAUAUUUUUUUUCUAGAUUGUGUACUUAUCUGCUUUUCCAUGUGGACAGGUGCUCUCUGCGAAAAAAAAGCUAUAUCUCAAAGCAUUUUGUUAAUUAAAAAAGGUAAAAGUAUAAAGAGGAACCUUCUUUUCUUGGACUGUCGGUGGAGCACUUAGACGAUAUGUCGUUGUGGGGAAAUGGAGGGAGGGGAUCUGCACUGCUUGUUGUCGUUGUUCAAGCGACCUUUUUUACAGUGGCUUAGCGGAUCUUAUCUGUUCAAACAUUUUUUCUUGAUGGAGAAGAGGAGUUUUAGGUCCGUGUUUGUGUCUGGAAAGGCGAAGAGACGCUAGUGUGGUCGAGCAGCGUCGGUUAGUGGAAAGGGAAUCUGUGGCAACCACUUUUUUUUUUGAAUACUUAAAACAUAAAAUAUAGUGUGCUUACCCAUGUGAACCCCCCUAGUGUAUCGUGCCUGCGUCCUUUUUUUUCACUGUGUGAAACAGCUUUUUCCGGAAUAGAAUUUAUUAUUCAUGCACUCGUGUUGUUGUAAGUCUCUGGUUCUCCUUCAGCACAAUUAGCGAAAGGUGGAGGUUUGAUGAAAGACUUUUUGGGAAGCUCCGUGAUGGAGCUGCGAAGAAUGCCCUUGCGAAAGUAUGCUUUGCGUUAGUGCCUCUAGCCAGGUUUUUCGGUGCUUAUCUCUUACGUCCUUUCUACACCUCGCUUUCGUUGUCUUCGUCCUUUCUGAGAAG
rnacentral:misc_RNA from 1 species